AUUGAACGCUGGCGGCAUGCCUUACACAUGCAAGUCGAACGGCAGCACGGGAGCAAUCCUGGUGGCGAGUGGCGAACGGGUGAGUAAUACAUCGGAACGUGCCCAGUAGUGGGGGAUAGCCCGGCGAAAGCCGGAUUAAUACCGCAUACGACCUACGGGUGAAAGCGGGGGAUCGCAAGACCUCGCGCUAUCGGAGCGGCCGAUGUCAGAUUAGCUAGUUGGNGGGGUAAAGGCCUACCAAGGCGACGAUCUGUAGCUGGUCUGAGAGGACGACCAGCCACACUGGGACUGAGACACGGCCCAGACUCCUACGGGAGGCAGCAGUGGGGAAUUUGGGCAAUGGGCGAAAGCCUGACCCAGCAACGCCGCGUGAAGGAUGAAGUAUUUCGGUAUGUAAACUUCGAAAGAAUAGGAANAAUAAAUGACGGUACUAUUUAUAAGGUCCGGCUAACUACGUGCC
rnacentral:rRNA from 1 species